rnacentral:tRNA from 1 species
UCCGAUAUGGUGUAGUGGCCAACAUGAUGCCCUCUCAUUACAGCGAGGCAGGCAUAGCCCCGAGUUCGAUUCUCGGUUUCGGAA